rnacentral:rRNA from 1 species
UACGUAGGGGGCGAGCGUUGUCCGGAUUUAUUGGGCGUAAAGAGCUCGUAGGCGGUUUGGUAAGUCGGGUGUGAAAUCUCCACGCUCAACGUGGAGGGGCCACUCGAUACUGCCAUGACUCGAGUCCGGUAGAGGAGUGUGGAAUUCCCGGUGUAGCGGUGAAAUGCGCAGAUAUCAGGAGGAACACCGAUGGCGAAGGCAGGUCUCUGGGCAUUAACUGACGCUGAGGAGCGAAAGCAUGGGGAGCGAACAGG